AAAAAGAAGAGAAGAAGAUUUUGGAAUUUAUGUGGACGAGACGUAAGUCUCGCCACAUAUAAUUCCAGUAUCUUUCUUUUUUUCUUUUUUUACUAGUUUUUAUACUAUGAGGAAGUAGCAAGUCCCGCUUUUUACCAAUUUAGAAAUAUUUGGAAAAAAAAAGAGGAGAAGAAGAUAUUGGAACUCAUGUGGUCGAGACUUACGUAAGUCUCGCCAAAUGUGAUUCAAGUAUCUUUCUUCUCUUCUUUUUUUUAGUUUUUUUAAUAUUUUCGUCGUAAUAUCCUCGUUAGUUUACGACUCGUUUACGACGAUUUUGGCUUACGUGGAAUUAGCGUGCCCCGCUUUCUUUUUUUUUUUUAAUUUCGUCGUAAACUCCUCGUGGCCUUACGACAACCUUACGACGAUUUUGGCUUACGUGGAAUUAGCGUGCCCCGCUUUCUUUUUUAUUUUUUUUCGUCGUAAACUCCUCGUGGCCUUACGACAACCUUACGACGAUUUUGGCUUACGUGGAAUUAGCGUGCCCCGCGUUAUUUAUUUUACUUUUCGUCGUAAGUUCCACGCUAUGUUACGAGGAAUUAACGAGUACUACAUUUAAAUCCCUAAAAUCCGAAACCCCAAACCCCAUCUUCCUUAUCUUCUACUUCAUAUAUUCCAAACCCCAAACCCAUCUACCCUUGAACCUCAAUCUAUUCUUUCACCUCAAACCUUAUUUAUAAUAUAUUCCAAACCCCAAACCACAAGUCCUUAUUCAUAAUUAAAAUAAACUUUCACAUUACUU
rnacentral:lncRNA from 1 species